UGGGGAAUAUUGGACAAUGGGCGAAAGCCUGAUCCAGCCAUGCCGCGUGAGUGACGAAGGCCUUAGGGUUGUAAAACUCUUUCGUCGGGGACGAUAAUGACGGUACCCGAAGAAGAAGCUCCGGCUAACUUCGUGCCAGCAGCCGCGGUAAUACGAAGGGAGCUAGCGUUGUUCGGAAUCACUGGGCGUAAAGCGCACGUAGGCGGAUAGUUAAGUCAGGGGUGAAAUCCUGGGGCUCAACCCCAGAACUGCCUUUGAUACUGGCUGUCUCGAGGUCGAGAGAGGUUGGUGGAAUUCCUAGUGUAGAGGUGAAAUUCGUAGAUAUUAGGAAGAACACCAGUGGCGAAGGCGGCCAACUGGCUCGAUACUGACGCUGAGGUGCGAAAGCGUGGGGAG
rnacentral:rRNA from 1 species